rnacentral:rRNA from 1 species
CCUACGGGAGGCACCAGUGGGGGAUAUUGCACAAUGGGCGCAAGCCUGAUGCAGCCAUGCCGCGUGUAUGAAGAAGGCCUUCGGGUUGUAAAGUACUUUCAGCGGGGAGGAAGGUGUUGAGGUUAAUAACCUCAGCGAUUGACGUUACCCGCAGAAGAAGCACCGGCUAACUCCGUGCCAGCAGCCGCGGUAAUACGGAGGGUGCAAGCGUUAAUCGGAAUUACUGGGCGUAAAGCGCACGCAGGCGGUCUGUCAAGUCGGAUGUGAAAUCCCCGGGCUCAACCUGGGAACUGCAUUCGAAACUGGCAGGCUAGAGUCUUGUAGAGGGGGGUAGAAUUCCAGGUGUAGCGGUGAAAUGCGUAGAGAUCUGGAGGAAUACCGGUGGCGAAGGCGGCCCCCUGGACAGAGACUGACGCUCAGGUGCGAAAGCGUGGGGAGCAAACAGGAUUAGAUACCCCUGUAGUC